rnacentral:rRNA from 1 species
UCAGGAUGAACGCUGGCGGCGUGCCUAAUACAUGCAAGUCGAGCGAACGGACGAGAAGCUUGCUUCUCUGAUGUUAGCGGCGGACGGGUGAGUAACACGUGGAUAACCUACCUAUAAGACUGGGAUAACUUCGGGAAACCGGAGCUAAUACCGGAUAAUAUUUUGAACCGCAUGGUUCAAAAGUGAAAGACGGUCUUGCUGUCACUUAUAGAUGGAUCCGCGCUGCAUUAGCUAGUUGGUAAGGUAACGGCUUACCAAGGCAACGAUGCAUAGCCGACCUGAGAGGGUGAUCGGCCACACUGGAACUGAGACACGGUCCAGACUCCUACGGGAGGCAGCAGUAGGGAAUCUUCCGCAAUGGGCGAAAGCCUGACGGAGCAACGCCGCGUGAGUGAUGAAGGUCUUCGGAUCGUAAAACUCUGUUAUUAGGGAAGAACAUAUGUGUAAGUAACUGUGCACAUCUUGACGGUACCUAAUCAGAAAGCCACGGCUAACUACGU